CACGUAGGCACCAAGCGUUGUCCGGAUUUAUUGGGCGUAAAGAGCUCGUGGGCGGUUCGGUAAGUCGGGUGUGAAAACUUUGGGCUCAACCCAAAGCCUGCACUCGAUACUGCUGUGACUUGAGUCCGGUAGGGGAGUGGGGAAUUCCUGGUGUAGCGGUGGAAUGCGCAGAUAUCAGGAGGAACACCGGUGGCGAAGGCGGGUCUCUGGGCCGAUACUGACGCUGAGGAGCGAAAGCGUGGGGAGCAAACAGG
rnacentral:rRNA from 1 species